rnacentral:tRNA from 1 species
GCCAUCGUAGCUCAGUUUGGUAGAGCAGGCGACUUGUAAUCGUCAGGUCAAGGGUUCGAUCCCCUUCGAUGGCU